AGCGGCCACGGGAGGAUGACCAAGCCCUGCACGAGGAGGCAAGAGACCCAAGAAGUUUUAAACACAACUCUCCUUAACCUCAGCAGACAAGACAUCGCCAGGCAGGAGCUGUGUACACUGCCGGCUACACAAGGCUGUACCGGAGUCUACUACCAUGAUCACAAACACCAAAGAUAUCCGGCGCAGCGAGUUACCAGCAGCAGGAAACACGGAGGCAGUACUUGUCAUGAUAACGUUAGUGAACCUGUCGAGUUGCAAGACCGGGACCUGAUACCUUAUACCUGGUACUUGGGACCUGGGACCUGGGACCUAAAAAAUGGAGAGCUGAGAGAAAAUGGACCUGGUACUUGAGACCUGGAAAUGAUAACCUGGGACCUGGAGAAAAUGGAACUGAACCUCGAUAUCUUGUAUCUGAAACUCACGACCUGAGACCUGGACCCAUCUCUCCAGGACCUGAACCUGUCCUGGUGGUGAUGUGGCCUCAACACCUUCAUGGUGAUGGACGAACAGAUGACACUUCAAGCUGAUCAUGUGAAGAAUGACGACAGAGCUCUGGCCCAGGCGGAUGGCGACAUCUUUGAGAGAAAAACAAAACUAUACAUUAAUUACUUCACUUAAUUUACCUGAUUUAUGAGUUAUGGGUCAGAGUCAGCUGAUACAAGUUAGAAACAUCAUUGGAGACAGCUCUGAUAGAAUUAUUGUGUCCUAAGGAUACCACCCCAGCGAGAAGGAAGAGACAUCGGCCAGGGUCACUACUUCAAGUAUGGGAGACAUGGCUUUGAUAUCACUACUACUGUUGGUCUUGAGCGCGGUGACAACGGCCGUAUCCCCAGCAGACGUCAUCAAACCCGGAGCUUUAGUUGCCUCACUAGGCUAAGUACUGGUAGUUCAAGACUUUGUAACUGUCAAGUAUGAGCUCCAUGACUUAAUGCACAUGCCAGUGCAUCUGAGGUCAAUAGCUGUCCACAUUGAAACAGCUAUGCAAACUCUGCAAGAUCUCCAACAACAAACUACAAUCUCUACAACACUCCGUCAGACCAUCUCUCUUCAGAACGACCGUCUGAAGAGUCUACUCAAGACAGUAACGCCUGUAUUAUUAAACAACAUCUUCCCCUUGAAGAGGGUCAUCGUGUUUCAACCUGAGUUUUAAACUAAAUGAGUCCUGAGGGACACUGCAGUACAGUACUUAACAGGGUGGUGUGGCGGUAAAAU
rnacentral:misc_RNA from 1 species